rnacentral:rRNA from 1 species
CAGCCGCCGCGGUAAUACGGAGGAUCCAAGCGUUAUCCGGAUUUAUUGGGUUUAAAGGGUGCGUAGGUGGCCUGUUAAGUCAGGGGUGAAAGACGGUAGCUCAACUAUCGCAGUGCCCUUGAUACUGAUGGGCUUGAAUGAACUAGAGGUAGGCGGAAUGUGACAAGUAGCGGUGAAAUGCAUAGAUAUGUCACAGAACACCAAUUGCGAAGGCAGCUUACUAUGGUUUGAUUGACACUGAGGCACGAAAGCGUGGGGAUCAAACAGGAUUAGAUACCCCCGUAGUCCCUGUCUCUUAUAU